GGGAGGAGGGAGAGAGAAAAGAGAGAGUGGGAGAGGAGGAAGAGGCAGAGACAGAACAGAGAUGGGUAUCAAAUAUGAAACUGAUUCAACAAGAUCUCACGGUCUCACCAAUUUGACUUCAGAUUCUGACGUUUAUCCAUGUUUCUCCAAACGUCAAAUCUCGAAGUUGCUCCAAAUGUAAAAUUGGAUGGUGUUUUUGACAACCUAUGUUCCUCCUGCUGCUGUAUCUCAAUCAUGAAUUCUGAAUGGAUCAGUUAAGCUUAAUGUUUGGGGUUAAGGUAUUCAUUCUGAAUGAUCCAGUUAAGGAGUAAUGUGUGGGGUUAAGGUAUUCAUUCUGAAUGGAUCAGUUAAGGGUUCAUGUUUGGGGUUUAGGCAUUCAUUCUGAAUGAUCCAGCUAAGGAGUAAUGUGUGGGGUUAAGGUAUUCAUUCUGAAUGGUUCAGUUCAGGGUUCAUGUUUGGGGUUAAGGUAUUCAUUCUGAAUGGUUCAGUUCAGGGUUAAUGUGUGGGGUUAAGGUAUUCAUUCUGAAUGAUUCAGUUAAGGAGUAAUGUUUGGGGUUAAGGUAUUCAUUCUGAAAUGUUCAGUUAAGGAGUAAUGUUUGGGGUUAAGGUAUUCAUUCUGAAUGGUUCAGUUAAGGGUUAAUGUGUGGGGUUAAGGUAUUCAUUCUGAAUGGUUCAGUUAAGGGUUAAUGUGUGGGGUUAAGGUAUUCAUUCUGAAUGGUUCAGUUAAGGGUUAAUGUGUGGGGUUAAUUAAGGUAUUCAUUCUGAAUGGUUCAGUUAAGGGUUAAUGUGUGGGGUUAAUUAAGGUAUUCAUUCUGAAUGGUUCAGUUAAGGGUUAAUGUGUGGGGUUAAGGUAUUCAUUCUGAAUGGUUCAGUUUUGGUUAUUACCAUCUAAUGUUUGUACCAUGCUUUGUGUUGCUGCCAUGUUGUGUUGCCAUGUUGUGUUUCUACCAUGCUGUGUUGUCAUGUUGUGUUUCUACCAUGCUGUGUUGCCAUGUUGUGCUGCUACCAUGCUGUGUUGCCAUGUUGUGUUUCUACCAUGUUGUGU
rnacentral:lncRNA from 1 species